AAUUUGGACAAUGGGCGAAAGCCUGAUCCAGCAAUGCCCGCGUGUGUGAAGAAGGCCUUCGGGUUGUAAAGCACUUUUGUCCGGAAAGAAAACCUCGUGGUUAAUACCCGUGGGGGAUGACGGUACCGGAAGAAUAAGCACCGGCUAACUACGUGCCAGCAGCCGCGGUAAUACGUAGGGUGCAAGCGUUAAUCGGAAUUACUGGGCGUAAAGCGUGCGCAGGCGGUUCGCUAAGACAGAUGUGAAAUCCCCGGGCUUAACCUGGGAACUGCAUUUGUGACUGGCGGGCUAGAGUAUGGCAGAGGGGGGUAGAAUUCCACGUGUAGCAGUGAAAUGCGUAGAGAUGUGGAGGAAUACCGAUGGCGAAGGCAGCCCCCUGGGCCAAUACUGACGCUCAUGCACGAAAGCGUGGGGAGCAAACAGGAUUAGAUACCCUGG
rnacentral:rRNA from 1 species